rnacentral:rRNA from 1 species
AACGCGAAGAACCUUACCGGGGCUUGACAUCCCGUGACCAUCUAGGAGACUAGGUUUUCCCGCAAGGGAACACGGAGACAGGUGCUGCAUGGCUGUCGUCAGCUCGUGCCGUGAGGUGUUGGGUUAAGUCCCGCAACGAGCGCAACCCUUGUCGUGUGUUGGUCGCAAGAUCUCUCACACGAGACCGCCGGUGACAAGCCGGAGGAAGGUGGGGAUGACGUCAAGUCAGCAUGGCCCUUACGUCCCGGGCUACACACGUGCUACAAUGGGGAGGACAGCGAGUCGCGAACCCGCGAGGGCAAGCUAAUCUCUUAAACCUCUCCUCAGUUCGGAUUGGAGGCUGCAACUCGCCUCCAUGAAGUCGGAAUCGCUAGUAACCGCAGAUCAGCUACGCUGCGGUGAAUACGUUCCCGGGCCUUGUA